rnacentral:piRNA from 1 species
UGAAUCAAGUUGCAGAUACUUAUGGUA